GUCCUGGCAUGCAUGGUUUCACCUGAGCUCAGCAGAGGAAAGAGCCAGGGCCGAGUCGAGCCGAGGCACGAGCUGACAGAGGUCUUUGAUUUUUUCCUCUGCGCUUUUUCCCGAAGGGGCCCCAGGAGCGGAGCCAUUCACCGUCCAAAGCAAUAAAUGUGCAAAGCAGGUCAGGGGGACUGGUACUGCAUUUCAAAGCUGACGUGCGAACGCUGGAGCACAGCCAAAAUGCCUGGAAAAGGUAACAAGUCGGACAAGAAAUCCACCAACAAGCCACCUCAGAGUCCUAAAGAUCAGCCGAAGAAAGGUGACCAGAAAGGAGACGACAACAAGAAGCAAGGAGGACAGCCGAAGGGAGAGAAGCAAUAACUUCCAGGCCUUCGUGAAGCUGGCCCUGGAGACGCUCUUGGGUUCCUGCAACCGUAAAUACCGCAGCCCUCGAGGUAGACAAAGCUGAAGUGACAAAAUAAGAACGGCGGAUCCUACGCAUUUCAGCUCUUAAUUGGAGCCUCUCGGUCCCACAACGCCUGCUGUCAUGGGUUUUAGGAGUUUUCCGAGACACUAUCCGAGACUCGUCACUUUCCUAGCCAUUUUUACAUCUCAUCCUC